rnacentral:rRNA from 1 species
AGUGAACGCUGGCGGUAGGCCUAACACAUGCAAGUCGAACGGCAGCACAGUAAGAGCUUGCUCUUACGGGUGGCGAGUGGCGGACGGGUGAGGAAUACAUCGGAAUCUACUUUUUCGUGGGGGAUAACGUAGGGAAACUUACGCUAAUACCGCAUACGACCUACGGGUGAAAGCAUGGGAUCUUCGGACCUUGCGCGAUUGAAUGAGCCGAUGUCGGAUUAGCUAGUUGGCGGGGUAAAGGCCCACCAAGGCGACGAUCCGUAGCUGGUCUGAGAGGAUGAUCAGCCACACUGGAACUGAGACACGGUCCAGACUCCUACAGGAGGCAGCAGUGGGGAAUAUUGGACAAUGGGCGCAAGCCUGAUCCAGCCAUACCGCGUGUGUGAAGAAGGCCUUCGGGUUGUAAAGCCCUUUUGUUGGGAAAGAAAAGCAGCAGGUUAAUACCCCGCUGUUCUGACGGUACCCAAAGAAUAAGCACCGGCUAACUUCGUG